GGUUUGACAUAUGCNNGUAGCAGCCAGAGAUGGUUNNGCCUUUUGGGCCNNNUUACAGGUGGUGCAUGGCUGUNNUCAGCUCGUGUCGUGAGAUGUUGGGNUAAGUCCCGCAACGAGCGCAACNCUUGUCCUAUGUUGCCAGCGGUUCGGCCGGGAACUCAUAGGAGACUGCCGGGGUCANNNCGGAGGAAGGUGNNGAUGACGUCAAGUCAUCAUGCCCCUUAUGUCCAGGGCUUCACGCAUGCUACNAUGGCUGGUACAGAGGGUUGCGAUGCCGUGAGGUGGAGCGAAUCCCUUAAAGCCAGUCUCAGUUCGGAUUNNNGUCUGCAACUCGACCCCAUGAAGUCGGAGUCGCUAGUAAUCGCAGAUCAGCAUUGCUGCGGUGAAUACGUUCCCGGGCCUUGUACACACCGCCCGUCAAGUCAUGAAAGUCGGUAACACCCGAAGCCGGUGGCCUAACCUUUUUGGGGGGAGCUGUCUAAGGUGGGAUCGGUGAUUAGGAUUAAGUCGUAACAAGGUAACC
rnacentral:rRNA from 1 species